rnacentral:rRNA from 1 species
AUUGAACGCUGGCGGCAGGCUUAACACAUGCAAGUCGAGCGGGGUGAUGGUGCUUGCACUAUCACUUAGCGGCGGACGGGUGAGUAAUGGUUAGGAAUCUGCCGAUUAGUGGGGGACAACAUCUCGAAAGUGAUGCUAAUACCGCAUACGUCCUACGGGAGAACGCAGGGGAACACUUGUGACCUUACGCUAAUAGAUGAGCCUAAGUCGGAUUAGCUAGUUGGCGGGGUAAAGGCCUACCAAGGCGACGAUCUGUAGCGGGUCUGAGAGGAUGAUCCGCCACACUGGGACUGAGACACGGCCCAGACUCCUACGGGAGGCAGCAGUGGGGAAUAUUGGACAAUGGGGGGAACCCUGAUCCAGCCAUGCCGCGUGUGUGAAGAAGGCCUUAUGGUUGUAAAGCACUUUAAGCGAGGAGGAGGCUCUUUUGGUUAAUACCCAAGAUGAGUGGACGUUACUCGCAGAAUAAGCACCGGCUAACUCUGUGCCAGCAGCCGCCGUAA